AAGUCGUAACAAGGUUUCCGUAGGUGAACCUGCGGAAGGAUCAUUAACAAUUCAACAAUACUCGUGUUUGGUAUGGUAUAACAGCAUCAUUGCUGUGUUUGUCUGUCUGGUUCCUCCUCCCAUAUAUAUAUCAUACUACUAUGGUAUGCGCGGGGGGUGGGAUGGACGGGGAGACGCGCAAGGAUGGUGGUGCCGUACCAGUUAACAACACAAAACACUUACAUUAAACUACUUGAGACAACAAAUACACAUAUACACUUUUUCGGGUGUAACAACCUUGAGAGAGAGAAUACAUAAUUAAAAACAACUUUUAACAAUGGAUCUCUCGGCUCUU
rnacentral:misc_RNA from 1 species